UACGUAGGUGGCGAGCGUUGUCCGGAUUUACUGGGCGUAAAGAGCGCGCAGGCGGUCGUGCAAGUCGCGUGUGAAAGCCCCCGGCUCAACUGGGGAGGGUCACGCGAUACUGCUCGACUCGAAGGCAGGAGAGGGAAGUGGAAUUCCCGGUGUAGUGGUGAAAUGCGUAGAUAUCAGGAGGAACACCGGUGGCGAAGGCGGGUCUCUGGGCCGAUAUUGACGCUGAGGAGCGAAAGCGUGGGGAGCGAACAGG
rnacentral:rRNA from 1 species